AUGGUGGAGGAGGAGAAGGGGAAGGUGGUGGUGGAGACUUGUAAACAUAUGGAGGAGGUGGUGAAGGGGAUGGUGGAGGUGGUGACUUGUAGACAUAUGGAGGAGGAGGUGAAGGUGAUGGUGGAGGUGGAGAUUAAUAGACCUAUGGUGGAGGAGGUGAAAGUGGAGGAGGAGGAGGAGACUUAUAAGGCUCUCUUCACUAUAAUUUUUCAUUGA